rnacentral:snRNA from 15 species
GGAUGUGAGGGCGAUCUGGCUGCGACAUCUGUCACCCCAUUGAUCGCCAGGGUUGAUUCGGCUGAUCUGGCUGGCUAGGCGGGUGUCCCCUUCCUCCCUCACCGCUCCAUGUGCGUCCCUCCCGAAGCUGCGCGCUCGGUCGAAGAGGACGACCUUCCCCGAUAGAGGCGUACCGUUCUUCGGUCAAGGGUAUACGAGUAGCUGCGCUCCCCUGCUAGAACAAGCUCCCAAGGUCCAUUUGUAGGAGAACGUAGGGUAGUCAAGCUUCCAAGACUCCAGACACAUCCAAAUGAGGCGCUGCACGUGGCAGUCUGCCUUCCUUU